CCUCCACUGCUGUUGGGCAGAAGGUCCAGAUUGCCGCCCCACUCCAUUAUCAAAACUUAAUAAUUCGUCGUCGCGUUGAUGCAAUCGUCGUCAUCGGAGAUGCCUCACGCCUGCAGCUGCGAAGACCAAAGAACCGAGCCGGAGCCACUGGCCGGAUUCGCCAUGAGACCGCCGCCGUCUCCCCCUUUGCUCCCCUUACUCCUGCUUCUCCUUCUCCUCCCGUCGCCGCCGGCUGCGGCGGCAGCGGCAGGCCCCGCCUCGUUGGAGGCGCUCCGCGCGGCGGCCGGCCGCAGGGCCGCGUCGCCGGCCACGCAAGAGAGGGCUGCCGCCGGGGUGCUCCGCCGGCUCCUCCCCUCCCACGCGCUCAGCUUCCGGUUCCAGAUCGACCCCAAGGGCGGCGUCUGUGGCGACUCGAGCUGCUUCAGGAUAAGCAAUGUUGAUGGCUCGAGCAAGGGCCGUGCAGAGAUUCUGAUCCAGGGUAACACUGCUGUUGAGCUUGCAUCUGGACUCCAUUGGUACCUCAAAUACUGGUGUGGGGUGCACAUUUCUUGGGAUAAGACUGGUGGUGCACAACUGGCGUCAGUCCCUUCGCCUGGGUCUCUGCCACGAGUGAAGGAAACGGCUGUCAAGGUUGAGCGCCCUGUUCCGUGGAAUUACUAUCAGAAUGUCGUCACUUCCAGCUACUCCUUUGUGUGGUGGGAUUGGAGAAGAUGGGAGAAAGAAAUUGACUGGAUGGCACUUCAAGGAAUUAACUUGCCUUUAGCGUUUACUGGACAGGAAGCUGUUUGGCAAAAGGUUUUUAAGAGCUUUAACGUCACCGACAGAGAUUUAGAUGAUUUUUUUGGUGGACCAGCUUUCCUUGCUUGGGCUAGAAUGGGGAACUUGCAUGCAUGGGGUGGGCCACUUUCACAAAAUUGGUUAGAUCAACAAUUGGCACUGCAGAAGAAAAUAUUGUCUCGUAUGAUUGAGCUUGGAAUGGUCCCAGUUCUGCCAUCAUUCUCAGGAAAUGUACCAGUCGCGUUUAAAAAAUUGUUUCCAUCUGCCAGCAUAACCAGACUCGGUGAAUGGAACACAGUUGAUGGUAAUCCUAGGUGGUGCUGCACUUAUAUUCUUGAUCCUUCAGAUGCAUUGUUUAUUGAUGUGGGACAGGCUUUUAUCAAGCAACAAAUGAAAGAAUAUGGUGACAUCACCAGCAUCUAUAAUUGUGACACAUUCAAUGAGAAUACACCACCGACAAAUGAACCGGCAUAUAUUUCAUCACUUGGUUCUGCUAUCUAUCAAGCAAUGUCGAGAGGUAACAAGGAUGCAGUGUGGUUAAUGCAGGGUUGGCUAUUUUACUCGGACGCAGCUUUCUGGAAGGAGUCUCAGAUGAAAGCACUACUUCAUUCUGUUCCAAUUGGUAAGAUGAUGGUCCUUGAUUUAUUUGCUGAUGUCAAGCCCAUAUGGCAAACGUCCUCCCAGUUCUAUGGUGUACCAUACAUCUGGUGCAUGCUACACAAUUUUGGUGGUAAUAUUGAAAUGUAUGGAGUACUAGAUUCAAUUUCAUCUGGCCCUAUUGAUGCACGUAGAAGCUACAAUUCAACAAUGGUUGGUGUUGGCAUGUGCAUGGAGGGAAUAGAGCAUAAUCCAGUUGUUUAUGAGCUUAUGUCUGAAAUGGCAUUCCGUAGUCAAAAGGUCGAAGUUGAGGAUUGGUUAAAAUCAUACUCCUAUAGGCGAUAUGGCCAAUCAAAUGUCGAAAUACAGAAAGCUUGGGCAAUUCUGUACCAUACGAUAUACAAUUGCACAGAUGGAAUUGCGGUUUGAUUUCAUACAGAUGCAACUUUAUUGCAGUCGUGCAAUGCUUGCUGACAUAUUCAUGUAUCCUUUUCAUAUGUUCGUUGCAGGAUCAUAAUAAAGACUACAUAGUUGAAUUUCCAGACAUCAGUCCAAGUUCUUUCAGUUCCCAGUAUUCCAAACGAAAAAUUAUCUCACAUGUGAGGAAACAUCCGAGGUUCUUAGGCGAGGUCUCUGCAAGCCUACCACAACCGCAUCUAUGGUAUUCUACGGAGGAGGCCGUCAAAUCCCUUGAACUAUUUCUUAAAGCAGGAAAUGGUCUUUCAGAAAGUCUCACAUAUAGGGCACAAGUGAAGUCAGUAGUUCUGGUUAAAAAAAAGUAAGUGGUCAGCUCACAUAUGCCAAGUUUGGAAUAGAAGGGAAAAUGGCUGAAAAGUGGGACUCGCUUGUAGGUGGCAUGCUUGCUGCCAUAGUUAUGCAGUGGCGGAGCCAGAAAGAUGAGAUCAGGGGGAGCCAAGUGAUGUUAAAACAGGUUGGGGAGGGCCAAACCUUGAGCAGCAACCAACCACCAAUUAUACACUGUUCAUAAGCAAACUAGCAGCAAAUACCUGAUGUUAGAGAGGGCAGGGGGUGGGGGCCCUGCUGGUCCCUCCUGUCUCCGCCACUGUAGGUAUGUAUGUGGAGUACUCCUGACGAAGAGGCAAAAAAAGGGGGGCAGAUAGGCAGGGUGCUAUCAUUGUACAGCUUAGUCAAAGUGAAGCUUCGACAAAAAUAGGGUGACCACACACAAAAGUACGACCUCGUUGAUUUGACAAGGCAGUCACUGUCAAAAUUAGCAAAUAAAGUAUACCUUGAUGCUAUGGAUUCUUACCAAAAGAGGGAUUCAAGUGGUUUAAACUUCCACACAAAGAAAUUCCUCGAACUCAUCAUGGAUAUCGAGACGCUACUAGCUUCUGAUGACAAUUUCCUGCUGGGCCCUUGGUUGGAAACUGCAAAAAACCUUGCUAUGACCGAAGACGAAAGGAAGCAGUACGAGUGGAAUGCUAGAACACAGGUGACAAUGUGGUACGACGACACAAAGACCGAGCAGAGCAAACUCCAUGACUAC